rnacentral:rRNA from 1 species
UACGUAGGGGGCAAGCGUUGUCCGGAUUUAUUGGGCGUAAAGAGCGUGUAGGCGGCCAGGUAGGUCAGCUGUGAAAACUCGAGGCUCAACCUCGAGACGUCGGUUGAAACCACCUGGCUAGAGUCCGGAAGAGGAGAGUGGAAUUCCUGGUGUAGCGGUGAAAUGUGCAGAUAUCAGGAAGAACACCCGUGGCGAAGGCGGCUCUCUGGGACGGUACUGACGCUGAGACGCGAAAGCGUGGGGAGCGAACAGG